AACGGACGCCAUGACACUUGUGUAGCUGUGCCGUCUGUCUUCAGAACACUCUACUUCCUUUGUUGCUCACAAUUGUGCCCUGUUUUCUCUUCUAUCUGUAGUCAAAGAAGUAGAAUAUGGACAGAAAUGGCGGCUACAUCCUCUUUAACACAAGACAGAAUGACAAAAGCCAAGAAGAUGCAGAUAUGGAGGAUUGACGAAGUUAAGUGACAUGGCUUUUAGUUUUGCUUCUACCUGCACAACUCAUCACUUAAGGACCUCUGAUUAUCCAGAGUUGAAAAAAUGGUUUGAUCCCAAGGAGAGAAUUUCAAAGGUGAAGACGUAUAAAAAUAGGUAUUGCUGAAUGCCUUGGAAUAUGGAAUAAAGAAGCUAAUGUUGGAACACCUAUUCCAUAAAUAAAUUGUAUUCUUA
rnacentral:lncRNA from 1 species